UACGAAGGGGGCUAGCGUUACUCGGAAUUACUGGGCGUAAAGGGCGCGUAGGCGGCGUUCCAAGUUAGGCGUGAAAGUCCUGGGCUCAACCUGGGAACUGCGCUUAAGACUGGAAUGCUAGAGGAUGGAAGAGGGUUGUGGAAUUCCCAGUGUAGAGGUGAAAUUCGUAGAUAUUGGGAAGAACACCGGUGGCGAAGGCGGCUCUCUGGACCGAUACUGACGCUGAGGCGCGAAAGCGUGGGGAGCAAACAGG
rnacentral:rRNA from 1 species